CCCCUACUCAUUUGCUGUGAAAAAGAGUAUAUGUAUGGGGUCGGUUUACCGACUAUGGCGAUAAACGGGCUUCGUAAUAAACCCAUCGGACCCGGGGGCAGUACCCGGCGCCUCCACCAUUUAUUCUCACAAGUUAUUGGGGGGGCGAAACAGGAUCGACGAGGGCGUAAAAGUUGUUUCCGUCGCUCGGUAUUGUACCACCGUUAUCGGGCUAUUUUUUAGUUGCAAAUGACAACUAUGCGGAAGUUGCUGUCGCUGCGUAGGUAGCGCCAAC
rnacentral:tmRNA from 1 species